rnacentral:rRNA from 1 species
UACGAAGGUGGCGAAUGUUGCUCGGAUUCACUGGGCGUAAAGCGUCUGUAGGUGGCUUGUUAAGUUAGAGGUGAAAGCCCCGCGCUCAACGUGGGAACUGCCUUUAAAACUGGCGAGCUUGAGAGUAUCAGAGGUAGGCGGAAUAACUGGUGUAGAGGUAAAAUUCAUAGAUAUCAGUUGGAACAUCCAUGGCGAAGGCAGCUUACUGGGAUAUUUCUGACACUGAGAGACGACAGCGUGGGGAGCAAACAGG